rnacentral:rRNA from 1 species
UACGGAAGGUCCGGGCGUUAUCCGGAUUUAUUGGGUUUAAAGGGAGCGCAGGCGGAGAGCUAAGCGUGACGUGAAAUGUAGCCGCCCAACGGCUGACGUGCGUCGCGAACUGGUUUUCUUGAGUGGGUACGACGUCGGCGGAACUCGUGGUGUAGCGGUGAAAUGCUUAGAUAUCACGAGGAACCCCGAUUGCGAAGGCAGCCGACGAGUCCCUUACUGACGCUAAAGCUCGAAGGUGCGGGUAUCGAAC